rnacentral:rRNA from 1 species
GACAGAGGUGCCAAGCGUUAGGCGGAAUCACUGGGCUUAAAGCGUGUGUAGGCGGAUCGUUAAGUACCUUGUGAAAUCCCACGGCUCAACCGUGGAACUGCUGGGUAUACUGGCGAUCUUGAGCCACCUAGGGGCGAGCGGAACAAGCGGUGGAGCGGUGAAAUGCGUAGAUAUCAUUUGGAACGCCAAUGGUGAAAACAGCUGGCUGGGGGUGUUCUGACGCUGAGACACGAAAGCCAGGGGAGCGAACGGG